ACUCUCCCCAGUCCACUCAACUCACGAGUGUACUUAUCGGAAAACUUUCACAUCCGGCAGCUUUUUCCGGCGCCCAUGUUCUCAAACCACCACCAAAUGUGUUUCAUUUAGAUUUUACUUCUCCUUCUUGCAUGUACCUACUCAUAGGGUUUCACCACCAAAUCUGCAACAGUCCAAAGGAAAUGAAGAAAACAAAAUCAAAUAAGCUACUAGUGAAAGGCAAAAAGAAGGUGAAGUUUGUUUCAAUGCUACGAUGGCAGGUGAAGAAGAAGCAAGCGACGAAAAGGAACUGGCUGGAUAUUCCUUCAGAUGUAAUGGCAAAUAUACUGUCUAGAGUUGGUGUGUUUGACAUACUUGAGAAUGCCCAAAAAGCGUGCACUACUUGGCGUCGAAUCUGUAAGGAACCAGUAUGUGGAGGGUCGUUUCUAUGGCCAACCCUUCUUUGGCAGACCCAAUUCGGAAACGUGUAUGUCAGGAGAUUUGUAAGGAUAUUGUGGAUAGAAGCCAAGGCCAGAUGGUUGAUAAUCUGAUAUUAGUAUGACUGAAUUUUGCAAUCAUCGCCUUCUUCGGUAUAUCGCUGAUAGAUCCAGUCAGCUUAGACGUCUAGAAGUUAAGUUUUCUUCUCGUGAUUUGAAUGGAGUUUGGAGUGGAUGUUUGAAGAAAUUUUCAUUAUUGGAGGAACUCAGCCUUUACACAACACAAAUCUCAGUCAAGGGUAUUGAAGCUGCUGGCCGCUACUGUCCCCUGCUUAAAACACUUAAAGUUAACCAUGACACGCAUAUAAACUAAUAUAGAUUUCUUAAAACACCAACACGGGAUAUAGCAUAUAUUGCUUACAAUCUGCGUACAUAUUCUUAAAACACCAACACAUAAUAUAGCAUAUAUUGCUUACAAUCUGCUUACAUGUUCUUAAAACACUAACAAAGAAUAUACAAUCCAUCUCAUUAAUGAAGCCCCAACCUCUUUAAGAGGUACUUCACCUGUACUUCCUUGAUGAGAGGAUAGACUCCGCUGAUGAAGACUUCACCAAAUUUUUGGGGUGGAGGAGCCUUACUUGACAAAUAGUGAGGGUUUUCAGGAACCAGGUUCACCAUGAGUCUUUGGACGAAUUUGGGCAUGUGAGGAGAGAAUCAUGGGAACCGCGACAGAAGAUACUUGGCCUGGUGUGACUUCUCUGCCUGACUUUAAGUCCGCCUUUCCAAAGUGGUCCUCAAAGGACCUGGCAGUUGUAUUCCCAACUCUUGAAAAAACGGGUCUUGAUUCCUACGUACUCACGGGCCCUAUCUACUGCUGAAUCAGGUCUCUGGGCAGAUUUAUGGAGCCGGGUUCUACAGCAUGAAACUAUGGUCAAUCUGGAUCUACGUCAAAAAUCUCGCUUAAGAUGGGCAGUGCAAGGAGACGAGAAUUCAUCUUAUUUCCAUGGGAUUGUCAAUGUGAAUACAUCCAAUAAUAGAAUAAAUGGGCAACUUUGGACGGCCUUUGGGUACAAAUCCUAAAGUUAUCAAGAGUAAAGUUUAUGAAUUUUUUUCAAA